rnacentral:rRNA from 1 species
GACGAACGCUGGCGGCGUGCCUAAUACAUGCAAGUAGAACGCACAGUUUAUACCGUAGCUUGCUACACCAUAAACUGUGAGUUGCGAACGGGUGAGUAACGCGUAGGUAACCUGCCUGGUAGCGGGGGAUAACUAUUGGAAACGAUAGCUAAUACCGCAUAAUAUUAAUUAUUGCAUGAUAAUUGAUUGAAAGAUGCAAUUGCAUCACUACCAGAUGGACCUGCGUUGUAUUAGCUAGUAGGUGAGGUAACGGCUCACCUAGGCGACGAUACAUAGCCGACCUGAUAGGGUGAUCGGCCACCCUGGGACUGAGACACGGCCCAGACUCCUACGGGAGGCAGCAGUAGGGAAUCUUCGGCAAUGGACGAAAGUCUGACCGAGCAACGCCGCGUGAGUGAAGAAGGUUUUCGGAUCGUAAAGCUCUGUUGUAAGAGAAGAACGGGUGUGAGAGUGGAAAGUUCACACUGUGACGGUAUCUUACCAGAAAGAGACGGCUAACUACGUG